ACAAGCAGAGGGGGCUUAGUGGUGGGGUGACUGCGUACCUUUUGUAUAAUGGGUCAGCGACUUAUAUUCUGUAGCAAGGUUAACCGAAUAGGGGAGCCGGAGGGAAACCGAGUCUUAAUUGGGCGUUAAGUUGCAGGGUAUAGACCCGAAACCCGGUGAUCUAGCCAUGGGCAGGUUGAAGGUUGGGUAACACUAACUGGAGGACCGAACCGACUAAUGUUGAAAAAUUAGCGGAUGACCUGUGGCUGGGGGUGAAAGGCCAAUCAAACCGGGAGAUAGCUGGUUCUCCCCGAAAGCUAUUUAGGUAGCGCCUCGUGAAUUCAUCUCCGGGGGUAGAGCACUGUUUCGGCUAGGGGGCCAUCCCGGCUUACCAACCCGAUGCAAACUGCGAAUACCGGAGAAUGUUAUCACGGGAGACACACGGCGGGUGCUAACGUCCGUCGUGAAGAGGGAAACAACCCAGACCGCCAGCUAAGGUCCCAAAGUCAUGGUUAAGUGGGAAACGAUGUGGGAAGGCCCAGACAGCCAGGAUGUUGGCUUAGAAGCAGCCAUCAUUUAAAGAAAGCGUAAUAGCUCACUGGUCGAGUCGGCCUGCGCGGAAGAUGUAACGGGGCUAAACCAUGCACCGAAGCUGCGGCAGCGAACGUAUCACCCAAGACAACUUUACGGAGUUGACGAUUGACGGAGCGAAGCGACGUCAAAGCGUUCAUUAAAGUCGAGUUGGCUUAGGGAUACGUUCGUUGGGUAGGGGAGCGUUCUGUAAGCCUGUGAAGGUGUGUCGUGAGGCAUGCUGGAGGUAUCAGAAGUGCGAAUGCUGACAUAAGUAACGAUAAAGCGGGUGAAAAGCCCGCUCGCCGGAAGACCAAGGGUUCCUGUCCAACGUUAAUCGGGGCAGGGUGAGUCGACCCCUAAGGCGAGGCCGAAAGGCGUAGUCGAUGGGAAACGGGUUAAUAUUCCCGUACUUGGUGUUACUGCGAAGGGGGGACGGAGAAGGCUAUGUUGGCCGGGCGACGGUUGUCCCGGUUUAAGCGUGUAGGUGUGUGUUCCAGGUAAAUCCGGUUCACUUUAACACUGAGGCGUGACGACGAGGCACUACGGUGCUGAAGCAACAAAUGCCCUGCUUCCAGGAAAAGCCUCUAAGCAUCAGGUAACACGAAAUCGUACCCCAAACCGACACAGGUGGUCAGGUAGAGAAUACCAAGGCGCUUGAGAGAACUCGGGUGAAGGAACUAGGCAAAAUGGUGCCGUAACUUCGGGAGAAGGCACGCUGACACGUAGGUGAAGUGAUUUACUCAUGGAGCUGAAGUCAGUCGAAGAUACCAGCUGGCUGCAACUGUUUAUUAAAAACACAGCACUGUGCAAACACGAAAGUGGACGUAUACGGUGUGACGCCUGCCCGGUGCCGGAA
rnacentral:rRNA from 1 species